UACAGAGGGCGCGAGCGUUGUCCGGAAUCGCUGGGCGUAAAGGGCGCGUAGGUGGCCACUAUAAGGCCGCGGUGAAAGUUCGGGGCUCAACCCUGAAUCUGCCGCGGCGACUGUAGGGCUUGGGCACUGUAGAGGCAGAUGGAAUUCCGGGUGUAGCGGUGGAAUGCGUAGAUAUCGGGAGGAACACCAGUGGCGAAGGCGGCUUCCUGGCCUGUUCUUGACGCUGAGGCGCGAAAGCUAGGGGAGCAAACGGG
rnacentral:rRNA from 1 species